rnacentral:rRNA from 1 species
ACGGGAGGCAGCAGUGGGGAAUAUUGCACAAUGGGGGAAACCCUGAUGCAGCGACGCCGCGUGAGUGAAGAAGUAAUUCGUUAUGUAAAGCUCUAUCAGCAGGGAAGAAAGUGACGGUACCUGAGUAAGAAGCCCCGGCUAACUACGUGCCAGCAGCCGCGGUAAUACGUAGGGGGCAAGCGUUAUCCGGAUUUACUGGGUGUAAAGGGAGUGUAGACGGCGAUGCAAGUCUGAAGUGAAAGCCCGGUGCUCAACAUCGGGACUGCUUUGGAAACUGUAUAGCUGGAGUGCCGGAGAGGUAAGCGGAAUUCCUAGUGUAGCGGUGAAAUGCGUAGAUAUUAGGAAGAACACCAGUGGCGAAGGCGGCUUACUGGACGGUAACUGACGUUGAGGCUCGAAAGCGUGGGGAGCAAACAGGAUUAGAUACCCUGGUA